GACGAACGCUGGCGGCGUGCCUAAUACAUGCAAUUCGAACGCAGUGGCUGACGUGUGAGUAACGCGUAUGUAACUGCCCAUUAGAGGGGGAUCACUAUUGGAAACGAUAGCUAAUACCGCAUACUAUCACAUGGACCUGCGUUGUAUUAGCUAGUAGGUUGGGUAAUGGCCUACCUAGGCGACGAUACAUAGCCGGCCUGAGAGGGUGAGCGGCAACCAGGGGACUGAGACACGGCCCAGACUCCUACGGGAGGCAGCAGUAGGGAAUCUUCGGCAAUGGGGGGAACCCUGACCGAGAAACGCCGCGUGAGUGAAGAAGGUUUUCGGAUCGUAAAGCUCUGUUGUUAAGGAAGCGGUACUUAACCAGAAAGGGACGGCUAACUACGUGCCAGCAGCCGCGGUAAUUC
rnacentral:rRNA from 1 species